AGUGUUAUGUGCAAACGAAGGCUUAAAAUGCUUUAUGACUUUGAGAGGUACUUGCACAUGUUAUCAUUUGGAACAGUAUAGGGGUGAGCUGCACGGGCUAAUGAUCGAAAGAGCAUUAUUUCACGCUUAUAGAAGUACUGUGUUACAGGUAUAUUGUAGUGGGGGAACGUGAAUAGGAAAGCGAUGAGGAUGUUGCUCCUUCGACGCCCCAGCAGAAGGAUGUGAUAGUGUCGCGGCGCGUCGUCGUGACGGAAAGAUCAAAGGGAAUUCGGUAAAAGUGUGUUGGACAGCAAUCUGUUAACGGCUUUCGUGGUUAUCGAAAGGUUAACGACUGUCGGGACCAAAUCAUCUUUAAAAAACCGCGAAGAGAGGCGGUGCAAGAUGUUUUCCUGAAAUCAAGUUUGAGCAGAUAUUUUGAUGAGACAGCCCAGCGGUAAAGUCUCCAUAAUGUUGUGGAAGGAUACAGAAUUGCUGCUUCUGUUUAUUUUUCCAUUGAUUUCAGCCCAGAACACUGAACUACCUGCAGUAAUGGACAGUGACAUUCUGACCGAAUUUGCUUACCAACCUGGGCCAUCGUACCUGAGUCUGAUCCUGCUAGCUCUGACCGUGGGACUGUCUGGCAGCGUUUACCUAUGUGUGCUGCGGUACAUUUGCACUGGCUGCUGCCAGCCUGUAGUUGUUGGACCUGAAGAUGAGAGCAUGUCAGGAGUGGUGUGAUAGCAACUUUUGUUUGAUUCAUGACUGUAAGAUUGGUAUGUGUGUUUAAGCACUUAUGCUGGUCUUCUUGAGUGGUUAAAUAGACAUCAUUGUUCACGCGUUCACAAGGCUUUGCCAUAUUUAAGUAAUAUGGUUGAAAACAGUGAAAAUCUGGUCAACCAUUCCUGUUAAUUUCAAAAUAAAAUUGCAACAUUUCAAUCAGAGAUCACUGAAAAUCUCUGAUUAAAAUGUUAUUGUUUUAUUUUAGUUGAACAGCGUGCAGAUUUUUGUUGCAAUUGAGCACCUGUUGAAGAUGUUUUGGAUUUGCAUAUUUCCUCUCUUUACACAUUGGUUUAGGAAUACCCUAUGUUUUUAUUUUCCAUGUUCCUGAUGAAAUACUUAAAUAUAAAUUUUUUCAUUCAUGUAACAGAGCUGAAGGGUCAUCUAAAGGACAUCAGAAUGUUUCAAAUGUAGGAUAGAAAUUGUAUAAUAAAUUGCUUAUCGCUUGUUGCGCAUUAGAGAUAAAAGCAUCUGCUAAAUGAAUACUUGGAAAUGUGAAAUUCACAGCUCUAAAGCCUGACUGUAUGUUGGUAGUAAAAUAAUGAAUUAAGGAUCUAGGCAGACAAGCAUUUAACUAUAAGGAUGACACAAGUGUUGAACGAAUGAGAGGGAGAAGUAAACCAUUUUAACAGAUUUUGGAUGGUCUGUCAGUCAAGAGAAAUCGCUCACAAAUCCUCUGUAGUAGAACACACUGUACUUUAAAUGAAUGUAGGCUAUUAAGAGCUUUUGUAAACACAAGGUAAACAAUUAUGAAGCCAUAUGAAACCAUUCAAAUUUUUUCAUUUUUUGGGGCCAUAGAUUUUAGUUAUUUUUUUAUUAUCAAAUGAUCCAGAAUGUGUUUUUAGAAUGAAGUCAUCCAAUGCAACUUUUCAUUACAUGUAUAAGCCCAAUUUGAACCAUAUUGUAUUAUUUUAAUGUCAACAUCUCUUGUUUAAUUAAGUAGGAUGCUCCCUGAGCAAGUGAUCAGUCAGUUGCAGAACCUGUUGCCAAGGGCUACUGCUGGAUCUAGUUGCCAUGGAAAUAGUUGCAUCUGUUUUCCUCUAGAUGGGGCUGUCACAUCAGCAGAUCAGGUCAACUAACUGCAAGCCGUAUUCAAAAUAUCUGCUACCUUAGAUGUUAUAGAAAUGCUUUUGUAGAUCAGUUUAAUGUUUUGUGGUUUCUAGUGUCAAACAUAUUAAUAUUCAUUGCAAAUACAAUGUCUUUGUGUAUAUGAAUAUCACACCAUGGAUAUUUUUUUAGUAAUUUGAUAGUAAUUUUGACAUUGAUGAAGAAAAAACAGGUUUACUUACACAAAUGUUGUCUUUGUUAAUCAUAAGCUCAGAGCUCACUGACAUAUAGUUAGAGUGUCAUCAGUUUUUAAGCAGACUAUAUAUAGCCAUAAGUUCAAAUCAACUAUUUACAAAUAACAUUUCUAGAAUGAGACAUGUUUUCAUGCUCCUCCCAAAUAAAGUCGAUGUUUGACACCAUUGUGGUUUUGCUCUUUAAACCACUUCCUCAUACAAAGAGGUGUGUUUAAAUGUUGCACUUCCCAUCUGAAACAUUUUCUUUUGCUUACCACAUGUUUGACACAAUGGGUUUUAA